UCUCCCACCUACUCUCCACACCUCUCUGCCAUAUCUCAAUUAUAUCAAAUCAUGGAGACUUUACUCAUACCAAAGAGACUUUACUCAUUCUACACAAAAGACAUGUUGCAUUCUUCUCAUCUGCAUUCAAGAAGGCAAGAACGCACAAAAGAAGCCACCAAGCACCAAGCACCAACCAUCAUUAACCCUCAAGGCUUUGUGACCAGGGGGAUUAGCGCUGCUUUCCCAAGACAGGUUUAUAAGUGAUUAUGAUCUUCAGGCUUUGCCUAACCAGGUUGAGCAGUUGAUGGAAUGGAAUGAUGUUGAGCGGGUGUUCCUUUGACAUUUCAAGAAAUGUAACCUUGAGUAUACAUCUUCAUAUGUAUAUCUCACACGUUUUCCGCUGCAAAGCUCUUUGAUUAGGAUAGCUCAAUGUUAUGAAGUUGUUAUACGUGUUAUUGGGUAACCCACCUUAAUCAGUUCACAUUUAUGUGUAUGUUUUAUAAGUAUCCAAAUAAUCAUAUAUGAUCCUAGCAUUUUAUCUAUGAGUGACAUUUCCAUAUACUUUAAUGUUAAGUAAUUGUCC